GACUACUGGGGUAUCUAAUCCCGUUUGCUCCCCUGGCUUUCGCGCCUCAGCGUCAGUGUCAGCCCAGCAACCCGUCUUCACCUCAGGUGUUCCUCUUGAUAUCUACGCAUUUCACCGCUACACCAAGAAUUCCGAUUGCCCCUUCUGCACUCUAGCAUGACAGUUUCACUUGGCCGUUCCGAGUUAAGCCCGGAGAUUUCACAAGUGACUUGUCAAGCCGCCUACGCGCCCUUUACGCCCAGUAAAUCCGAACAACGCUUGGUCCCUACGUAUUACCGCGGCUGCUGGCACGUAGUUAGCCGGACCUUAUAAAUAGUACCGUCAUUGAUUCUUCCUAUUCUUUCGAAGUUUACAUACCGAAAUACUUCAUCCUUCACGCGGCGUUGCUGGGUCAGGGUUUCCCCCAUUGCCCAAAAUUCCCCACUGCAGCCUCCCGUAGG
rnacentral:rRNA from 1 species